GGUGGCCUAGUGGUUAGAGUGUUCGCCUCGGAUGCGGGAGGUUGUGUGUUCAAUCCCAGGUUUAGUCAUACCAAAGACU